GCGGAUGUGGCUCAGUUGGUAGAGCACAACCUUGCCAAGGUUGGGGUCGCGAGUUCGAAUCUCGUCAUCCGCUCGA
rnacentral:tRNA from 1 species